AAAUUGAAGAGUUUGAUCAUGGCUCAGAUUGAACGCUGGCGGCAGGCCUAACACAUGCAAGUCGAACGGUAACAGGAAGAAGCUUGCUUCUUUGCUGACGAGUGGCGGACGGGUGAGUAAUGUCUGGGAAACUGCCUGAUGGAGGGGGAUAACUACUGGAAACGGUAGCUAAUACCGCAUAACGUCGCAAGACCAAAGAGGGGGACCUUCGGGCCUCUUGCCAUC
rnacentral:rRNA from 4 species